GAAGGGAAUUUAAUACAGCUGUUUGACACCUCCAUCUACUUGCAUUGAUUGUUGUGUGACAGUGGAUGUGCUGGACUGUUGUAUUGCCUCGUUAAUGUACUGGAUGAGAGGGAACAAACUGAAUCCAGUGGCUCUGGCUUGGCUCUUUUCCAGCUCUUCAACUUGAGGUCUUCUGACUUUCAGCGACGGGACACAUUCCUCCUGGGGAACUAGAAGCCAUGUGGACCACAUGUCAACAGUGAGCAGGAACCAAAGGCAAAGGUGAGCAGGGAGGCAGCUCUUACUAUUGUACAGAAGGCUAAAGUCCAGCUAGCUGUGUCUUCUUCUACCCAGGCAAACAAGAGGCAUUAGCUUAGUUCAAGGGCCAGGUAAAAGCACUGGAUAGGGCAUAGAGCAGCACCAGGAAGGAGUGUGGUCUGGGAGGUACACGGCAUGGCUAGCCCUGAGGGCCAGAGGGGCCU